rnacentral:rRNA from 1 species
CGAACGGGUCUUCGGAUUAGUGGCCGACGGGUGAGUAACGCGUGAGAAUCUGCCUUCAGGAGGGGACAACAGUUGGAAACGACUGCUAAUACCCGAUAUGACGAAGUUGAAAGAUUUAUGCCUGGAGAUGAGCUCGCGUCAGAUUAGCUAGAUGGUGGGUAAGGCCACCAUGGCGACGAUCUGUAGCUGGUCUGAGAGGAUGAGCAGCCACACUGGGACUGAGACACGGCCCAGACUCCUACGGGAGGCAGCAGUGGGGAAUUUUCCGCAAUGGGCGCAAGCCUGACGGAGCAAACCGCGUGAGGGAGGAAGGCUCUUGGGUCGUAAACCUCUUUUCUCAGGGAAGUGACGGUACCUGAGGAAUAAGCAUCGGCUAACUCCGUGCCAGCAGCCGCGGUAAUACGGAGGAUGCAAGCGUUAUCCGGAAUGAUUGGGCGUAAAGCGUCCGUAGGUGGUUUGUAAGUCUGUGGUUAAAGUGAGCUUAACUCAUAACGGCCAUGGAAACUAGACUAGAGUAAGUAGGGGUAGAGGGAAUUCCCAGUGUAGCGGUGAAAUGCGUAGAGAUUGGGAAGAACACCGGUGGCGAAAGCGCUCUACUGGACUUUACUGACACUGAGGGACGAAAGCUAGGGGAGCGAAAGGGAUUAGAUACCCCUGUAGUCCUAGCCGUAAACGAUGGAUACUAGGUGUUGCCGUAUCGACCC